rnacentral:lncRNA from 1 species
GUUAUUCUUCGGUUUGCCUCCUCCCAGUGGCGUGGAUUUGCUCCCGACCCGCUUUUGGGGCGUGCCUGCUUCCUCCUCUCUGUUAGAUCUCGCUCUGUCACCCAGGCUGGAGUGAAAUGGCACAAUCUUGGCUCACUGUAACCUCCGCCCCCAGGUUCGACUGAUUCUCGUGCCUCAGCCUCCUCAGUAGCUGGGAUUACAGAUGAGCCCCAGAGAGGCGAAGCCACUUGAGCUCGUGAGUGACAGUCAGAUGUCAAGCCCUGCUCUUUCUAAAGCGUGCUGCCUUCAGAAAAGAAGAGCCAGAAGGAUGGAAAUUACUUCAGAAAGAUGAAUACCAGCUUUGAAGGAAUAAAAGCUGACGAGGAAUUGAAGGAGUUGAGGCACGAGCUUGAACAGGGUUGCAUGUUUGGCCCUUGAUUGUAAAUGCCCAUUGCUGCACCUGUUCCUGUUACUUGGGGAGUUGCAGCAGAAGGAACAGCGGCCUGGGACUCCAGAGAACUGGGUUCCCUCUCAUCCCUCCAGGGCCACCACUUCUUGUGGGCCCUUGGGCAAGUCACUGUACUUUCUGAGUCUCAGUUUCCCCAUUUGCAGAAUGGAAAUAACUACCCCGGUCUACCAACUUAGAAGAAUUGCUUUGAGGAUCUGAUAAGGUGGUGUGGAUGAUGCUGCCUUGGGGGCUUUACAGUCUGGAGCUCAAGGGACCCCUUAAGUUGGGCUUACUUAGUAACUCCAGGGGUGGGCAGAACAGGACUCCAAUGAGGGUUUUUUUCUUUUUCCCUUUUUUUUCUUUUCCUAUCUCUUAACUUUUAUCUUUAUUAUUUUACAAUGCCCUUGUAAGAUGAAACAAGUGAUGCUGAAAUAUCUUUUUCUUUUUUAACCUUUAUUUUAGAAUUGGGGUACAUGUGCAGGUUUGUUACAUAGGUACAGUGUGGGCUGCUGAGGUUUGGGAGUACGAAUGAAUUAGUCACCCCAGUGGUGAGCAUAGUGCCCGAUAAGUGGUUUUUUCAACCCUUACUCCCAUCCCUCUCCAUUCUUGUGUUCCCCAGUGUCUGCUGUUCCCAUUUUUAUGACCAUGUGUACUCAAUGUUUAGCUCCCACUUAGAAGUAAGAACAUGCCCAGCACUUUGGGAGGCCGAGGUGGGUGGAUCAUGAGGUCAAGAGAUCGAGACCAUCUUGGCUAACAAAGUGAAACCCUGUCUCUACUAAAAACAUAAAAAAUUGGCCGGGUGUGGUGGUGGGCACCUGUAGUCCUAGCUACUCGGGAGGCUGAGACAGGAGAAUCGCCUGAACCGGGGAGGUGGAGGUUGCAGUGAGCUGAGAUUGUACCACUGCACUCCAGCCUGGGUGACAGAGUGAGACUCCAUCUCAAAAAAAUAAAAAUAAAAAAAUAAAAAGAAUGUGGUGUAUGA